rnacentral:lncRNA from 1 species
AACCAAACCAAAUUGAACCAUAUAUAUGGUUCGGUUUGGAUCUUAAAAUCAUUUUCAUAAAACCAAUUUAUUUUUUUAAAAUCGGUUUAUAAGUGGAUCGGUUCGGUUUUAAAUCGGUUUUUAACAAAAAAAUAGUUUAAAAAAAUAGUGGGGUAGUUUGAGAUUAAAUUCAAUUUUUAAGAGGAGUCGCCAAUUGAAUUGGCGCCUCCUCCCUAAAGUGGGGUAGUUUGAGAUUUUUUU